CAUCGAUUGGAACACACAAACAAAAGCACAAAGCAAGAUGCAGUGCUAUCUGACCCUAAAGAGAGAGUACCAGGUGGCAGACUACCUGACCACAGUGACCGAUGUCAGACUAAGAACCACGUUGACCAGGUACAGACUCAGCGAGCACCACCUGGCCAUCGAAGCCGGCCGCUACCGACAACAUUGGCUCCCCAAAGAGGAGCGCUUCUGCCAGCUGUGUAAGAGCGACACAGUCGAGACUGAGCUGCACUUCCUGACAGAAUGCACCCCCCUGCAGCCGGUCCGGACUCAAUAUUUCCCCAAAUUCAGACUAAAGCACCCAACAUUUGACCAAAUACCCGACAUCAACAAGAUGGAGAUCCUGCUGGGAGAACAGCCAGAGAGCUGCAGUCUAGCAGCACAGUAUGUCUUUACCUGCUACACACACACACACACACACACACAC